GACGAACGCUGGCGGCGUGCUUAACACAUGCAAGUCGAACGAAGUGGCGAACGGGUGAGUAACGCGUAAUCAACCUGCCCUUCAGCGGGGGACAACAGUUGGAAACGACUGCUAAUACCGCAUACUGAAGGAGGGGCUUGCGUCUGAUUAGCUAGUUGGAGGGGUAACGGCCCACCAAGGCGAUGAUAAGUAGCCGGGCUGAGAGGAUGAACGGCCACAUUGGGACGUAGACACGGCCCAGAAUCCUACGGGAGGCAGCAGUGGGGAAUCUUCCGAAAUGGACGAAAGUCUGACGGAGCAACGCCGCGUGAGUGAUGACGGCCUUCGGGUUGUAAAGCUCUGUUAAUCGGGACGCGGUACCGGAAUAGAAAGCCACGGCUAACUACGUGCCAGCAGCCGCGGUAAUAC
rnacentral:rRNA from 1 species